CCUUCUCUUGUACUUGAGCCUUCAUUAAGCUAGGUUGAGUGUUUCAUCCUUGUGUAAACUGAGUGUAAAAGCCUUCAAGUGGUACAAAUCUUGAAGAGAUUGUGUAAGAGCCCAUUGGAGCCGGAAUCCAAGUGUAAAACGAUUGAAAGCUUGAUUGUAGCUUCAAGUUAGUGGAACCCUCACUCGGUUAGGAGAUUGAGGAGAGUGGACGUAGGCAAGGGAGUGCCGAACCACUAUAAAUCUGAGUUUGAAUUCUCUACCUUUAUCUCUUUCCUUUAUUUAUUUUGUGCAUAAAUUAUUGUGUGGAAAAAGAUUUUGAAAAACCCAAUUCACCCCCCCCNNNNNNNNNNNNNNNNNNNNNNNNNNNNNNNNNNNNNNNNNNNNNNNNNNNNNNNNNNNNNNNNNNNNNNNNNNNNNNNNNNNNNNNNNNNNNNNNNNNNCCCCCCCCCCCCCCCUUUUGGGUAUUUUCCUUAAUUAUUCAUAGCCUUUGUUUUAUCACUAUGUUUGCAUCCUUCCGGGAAAGUUUACAUUUCAAGAAGUGUUAUUUUUUAUGAAAAAACAUUUCCCUACUCAUCUCUACCAAUGAAUGAUUCCAGCCCUACUCCACACACUUCCUCCACAUCUUUCUCUAUACCCCUUUUACAAACCAUGUCACAAACCUCUUCUCCUCCUUCCAUGUGUCCAACUGCAUCAAGACCAGUGUCCCCUUCUAUACCUUCACCUCCUAUUUCAGUUCCUUCCCUUCAUCCCAUGACUACUCGUUCAAAGGUGGGUACAAUCAAACCCAAACUACUCCCAGACCACAUCACAUACCUGUCUACUUCCGUUUCACCCUCAGACCAACUUCCUACCAUUGUUAGUCAAGCGUUGAAAAAUCCCAAUUGGCACACAGCUAUGGUUGAAGAAUAUCAAGCCUUAGUCCAGAACAAUACUUGGACCUUGGUUCCCUUUCAUCCAUCUAUGAAUGUCAUAGAUAGCAAAUGGAUUUUUCGUGUCAAAUAUAAUUCUGAUGGUACCAUCCAACGCUACAAGGCCAGACUAGUAGCCAAAGGAUUUCAACAAUAUGCAGGUGUGGAAUUUACUGAUACUUUCAAUCCAGUGAUCAAAGCCUCUACUAUUCGAGUUGUAUUUACAUUGGCUGUAACAUAUAAUUGGGAAAUUCGACAAAUUGAUUUCAACAAUGCAUUCCUCAAUGGAGAAAUUGCAGAGACUGUUUAUCUUUCCCAACCAGCUUGAUUUGUUAGCACAUCUCAUCCCCAACAUGUUUGUAAGCUACAGAAAGCGCUAUAUGGUUUUAAACAUGCACCACGUGCCUGGUUCCACAAGCUCAGGGAAGCUCUUCAUACCUGGGGCUUCAUCUCCUCCACGUCAGAUACGUCCCUGUUCAUCUACAAGCACAAUGGCAAUUUUCUUUUGUUGUUGGUCUAUGUUGAUGAUUUACUUAUUACAGGCAACAAUGCUCCACUUAUUCAAACUCUUAUUUAGGAUCUUCAGAACAGGUUUGCACUAAAAAACCUGGGUCUUGUGAAAGACUUUCUUGGAUUUGAAGCUCUUCGCACAACAACUGGUCUUCGUCUUACACAGUCAAAAUACAUGACUGAUCUCCUCAUUAAGACCAAAAUGCAUUCAGCUAAACCAGUUCUUACUCCCAUGAGUGCAGCCCUCAAACUUCAUGCAGCCUCGGGUCCUGCAUUUUCUGAUCCCACACUUUAUAGAAGCACCAUUGGUGCUCUCCAAUAUUUAACUUACACAAGACUGGACAUAGCGUUUGCUGUAAACAAACUCAGUCAAUACUUGCAGCAACCUAUUGAGCUCCAUUAGACAGCAUGUAAAAGAGUAUUACGAUAUCUCAAGGGCACAGUUCAUUGUGGACUGCACUUCACUCCAGCUUCAUCUCUGCAUCUUCAAGUAUACACCGACGUAGAUUGGGCAAGUUCAAUUGAUGAUCGUCGCUCUACAACUGGCUACUGUGUGUUUCUUGGCACCAAUCUUCUCACAUGGAGCUCCCGUAAACUGCCUGUGGUUGCAAGAUCCUCAACCGAAGCAGAGUAUCGCGCCCUCGCUCAUGCAUCAACUGAAGUAGCAUGGCUACGUUCUCUUUUUUCAGAACUUGGAAUUUCUCUUGUCAACACACCUAUCUUAUGGUGUGACAAUCAAGGUGCUGGUGCCUUAGCAGCUAAUCCGGUAUUUCAUUCCCAAACGAAGCAUAUUUGAAGUAGAUGUCCAUUAUGUUCGUGAGCAGGUGCUAGAUCAAAAACUAGUGGUAUCUUAUGUUCCUUCUGUAGAACAAGUGGCUGACUUAUUCACUAAGCCCUUGUCUAUUCCCAGGAUUCAAUAUCUGCUUACCAAGCUCAACCUUGAUGUUUCUCCAAGUUGUGCUUGUGGGGGGCUGUUAAGCUAACCAAAUUCAGUUAGGAAGUUAGCUAACCUGUAACUAUGGUCAGUUAGUAACUAAAGUCAGUUGGUAACCAAAGUUAAACUCCAGAAGUUUUGAUAUAAAAACAAAUGUAAAUCAAUCAGAUGAGUCAGUGAAAAAGCAAGAAUACAUUUCAGUUCCAGAAUUUCCAAUACUCUGUUUUUUUUUCGUCAUACUCUGUUUUUCUGCUUCAGCCCUGUUCUCUUCAUUUUCUCUUCAACAAAACAUUGCAUUAUUCCAUUUUGCAAUUUUAUUGGCUGAGUACAGAUUUAUGACACGUGAAAUAUAAAAUUUCAUGGAAGAAAGUGAUAAUAAAAAAGCUAUAGGAAGACAUUGAGCUUGUUGUAAGUUUAUUUGGGUUAUUUAUGCUUAUUUGAGAACUGUUUCCUUUCUAUUCUCAAUAGGAAAAAUAAAUGAAUUAAUUAAUCAAUUAAAUUUAAAAAUCAUGUUAAGAAAAAGAGUUAUUUAAUAUUUAAUUUCAUUAUAAAAAAUAUCAAAUAUAAUUAAAAUUAACAAGGAACUUAUAUAUUCUAAAAUUAUUUAAUAAGUGAAAUGAAUUUGAAAUAGAAUAUAAAAAUAUUUUAUUAAUUUUAAAUUUUAAAAUUUAUUUUUUAUUUUUUUAUUUUAUUUCUUUUAUAUUUUUCCUCAAACUUUUUGUAAUCAAACAAAAAACCACUUAAUAUUUGAAAGUUAAAUUUUAAAAGUGCCUUCAUAGUGUUAGUUGUAAUACAUUAUUUAUAUAUAAAAAAAAUGAUUUUACUAAGAAUUUUAAAGAAAUUAUCAAACACUUAGUUCUGUUUUGUUGUUGUUUUUGAAAACUGUUAUGGAAAACAGUUUCUAAUAAUAGUUUUUAAGAACACAUUUUUUGUGUUUUCAGCAAUAAAAUUUGUGUUUGGGAACUGAAUUCUAAAAAAUAGUUUUUGUUAUCAAAAAUAUAUAAAAAAAAAAAGCAUAUUUUGUUGAGUUGAUAAAAAAGUUUUAUAGAAUAAGUAAAACAAAAAACAUUUUUGAAAGUUUUUUUUAAUUAAUAAAGUGUUUUCUUCCAUUAACUUGAUAUUAUAAAUAUAUAAAUAAUUUUCAUAUACACAAUUCAUUUAAAUUUUUUAAAAAAUAUUUCAUUUAAAAUUUUUUACAUUAGUUAUAAUUUUUUUGAAUAAAUAAUGGCUUUGUCACCAUAUGCAAGUAUAUUAAUUUCAAUAAUUUAAGAAAGAAGAAAGGGUUUAUGAGUGAGGAUGUGGUAGUUCGGUGGAGUUCACCUUUGUGAAAACACAAAAAAUAGCUAAAAAAACACAAAAAGAAGAAAAAGAAAAUACGAAAAACAAUCUAUUCUUUUAGGAGUGAAAAAAUAAUGAAAACCUCUCUUUAUUAUUCUCAAAAAAAUGGUUUUUGAGAACAUAAAAAACAUAAGAAAAAAAAAAACAAAAACACACCAAUUUCCCCAAACAAGUUUUUUUAUGUUUUUUGUUUUCAAGAACAGAAAACGGUUCUUAAAAAUAGGAUCCAAACAUCCCCUUAAUUUCUAUCAUGAAACACUAUUUUUAAGCUCUUCCAAAAUUACUCUUAAAUGGGUUCUAUGAAGAUUUUAAAAAAUAUUAUCAAAUCGGCCUUUAGGUUUUAUUUAUUUAUUUAUUUAUUAUUAUUAUUAUUAUUAUUGAUUUUUGGGUAACAAUUUUAAUAUUUUCAAUAAAUUUAUUAACCGCAUGUCAUUUUCUACAUUCAUCGUAGGUAUUUUAUACUCUUUAAUUAGAAUCCUCAGUCUCAAUUUUUUUAAUAUAGCAUAUUAUUUAUUUAUUUAUUUAUUGUUUGCCUAUUUGUCUUACGUGGGAGGUAUUUGUGGGUCAUAAUGGGUUACAUGACAAAUCAAUUUUUGUCAUUUUCAGUAUUAAAAAAAGGAAAGUUAUCGUCUUUACAGUAUCCAUGCAAAAUGAAUUAUUUAUUUAAAGGAUUGAAGUUACUAGUUAAUGAUCAAAUCUAAUAUUAAUCAUAAAUUUUUGUCUUUAAAUUAUUUUCCAAAAUUUAAAAAAAAAAUCUUAAUUUUCUUCGAUUUGUAGCUCUUGGUGUUUUUUUUGUGCUUUAUUUGUUUAGUUAAUGAUGUAGAAAAGAGGGAAAACAACUUCAAAUUAUUUUUGAAAACAAUAAUUUGAGAAUGCGGAGAAUAACUUUUAAAACACAGAAAACAAUUGUCAAAUAUUUUAAGAGUGUUUUCUAUUCUCAAGAGGAGGAAACAGUUUUUGGAAACACUCGCUACUUACCCUAAAUUCUCGAAACAAAAUUUUGUUCCCAAUUUACCAUUUUUGCUGCAAAUUUUUCAUAGAGACAGAAGAAAAUGUGAAAAUAAAAUGGGAAGCAAACUCACAUUAUCAUAGCAUUACUGCAACAAACAAACAACACAACAUUUCUGAUGGCUUCAAAACUCAAAAAAAAAAAAAAAAAAAGAAGAGAGAGAGAGAAAGAAAAAACAUCUACACUACCAAACAACUCCUUACUAUUAUUAUUCACUAAAAGCUUCCCUUAUUUAUUCCAUUUCCACCAACCUCUUCAUUUUUAUUUACUCCUUUUGCAAGCCGAAAGCGGCGACCCGCACAGGCAGUCAUUGCCCUGGAACGCACUCGCUGGAAACUUCGACGGAGGAAGCCGACCACACAAAUGGUUGUGGCUCACAUUCAGCUUCUCCAACCCCGUUAUCCCCUCAGGCACCUUCCCGAAAACCAUGCUCCGCGACACAUCCAAGUACUUCAGCGUCUUCACGAUUCUCAGUUUCGAGAAAUCGAAUCGCAGCUGGUUGCCGGAGGCCCAAAACCCUACCAGGUAAUCGGUUUUGUUCAACAACUGGGUCGGACUACCUGUGAUUUCGUUUUCCGAGAGAUCGAUGUAGUCGUAGAAAUAGGUUUCCGACGGCUUCCAAUCGUCUAGUUUGAACUUGAGUCCGCAUUUUGCGAGCUUCAGUGAGUAGAUGAUCUCAGAUGAUGUGACCCAUUUUGGAAUUGUACCGAGAUGGAAAUGAUUGUACGAUAGAUCGAGUGAUUCGAUCCCUUUUACGGACAUUUCUGGGAAGGGAUCGACGAGAAAAUUGUGUGACAGAUCGAGGUUGAAUAUUUUUGUGAGCUUUGCGAAAGUUUUUGGCACAGUGCCGGAGAAUUGGUUCCAGGAAAGAUCAAGGGUAUCCAAUGCUGUAAAGUUACCGAGAAAAUCUGGGAUCUGUCCCACUAGGGAGUUGUGGCCCACCUCCAAAUAGGCCAAUUUUGGAGAUAAGCUUGAAAUGCUGUUCGGAAUUUUCCCGGAAAACUUAUUGUGAGAAAGUCGGAGAAUCCGGAGGUUAGAGAACGAGGAGAAGAAGUCCGGUAUGCUGCCGGAGAGCCCGUUCCGUUCGAGGCUGAGAAAGGUCAAGUCCUUGAGCCGGCUGAUGCCGGCUGGCACUGUGCCAGUGAGGAGGUUGCCACCGAGUUUGAGCUGAGUCAACCCAGUCAGCUGGGAGAUCGAACUCGGUAUUGGCCCGCUGAACCGGUUACCCUCAAAACUCAGCGCAUUGAGUUGGGUCAAGUUUCCGAUAUCUCGGCGAAGUGGGCCAGAAAGCUGGUUGUUUUCGAUGUAAACGAACAGGAGUUUCGGCAUCCCAAAAAGAAGAGCCGGAAAAGGACCCGUGAUGUUUCGGAGGUUCUGCAGGUAAAUUCCAUCCAAGUUCUGCACUUUCACCAGAGAAGGCGAGAUUGUACCGGACAAAAAGCUAUUCUGUUUACCAGGUUGGCCCGUGAGGGAGAGACUCGUGACCCGGUUUCCAGACAGGCAGGUGAUACCUGGCCAUUUGCAGCAGUCCGUGCCGGACUUCCAGUUUUGAAGCAUGCCGGAGGGGUCAUGGGUGAUGGCCGAUUUGAAGGCGAGGAGACCCAAUUCGUCGUCCACAUGGCAGGCAGCGGAGGCGGCGGUGAGGCACUGGAGGGUGAGGAGAGAGAGGAGAGAGAGGAGGAGGAAAAAGAGAGAGCUUUUCAAAGCUAACAUGGCGGUGGCGGUGGCUUGAAGAGUGGAAGUAGAAAAUGGUAUGAGCUUUCUCACUCUAUGGGUUUUUUAUACAAGAAAAUGGUUUGUCUCCACUCGUUGAAUGAAUCAUUGAAUCCCAUCUAGAAAGAGUGCAACUUGGCGGGUUGGCAUGAUAAGACUCCAAUUCAACCCGAGGUUUAAUUGCUUGCAGUAAAUAUUUUUAAUACUUAAGUCAAGAUUGGGAUAAGCUUUUUUUACCUUUACCCAAUUCAGGCGAGGCAAGAUCUCAACCAUUUUUUAAGUCUCACUCGAUUUAAUAUUUUUAUAAUAUUUAUAAUAUUUAUUAUUUUGUCAGUAGAACUCGAUUUAAUUAUAAUAUUUAUUAUUUUUUAUAAUAAUAUUUAUUUUUAAUUUUUAUUUUAAAUAUCAAAUUAUAAUUAUAUUAUAUAGUUUAGUUUUUUUAAGGAAUAUAUAUGAGAUUAUUUUUAAUUUUUUUAGUUAUUUUGAAAUUUUAUUUUAUUUAUUAUUUAAAUUUUAAUUUAUAUAUAAGUUUUUAAAAACCAUUGUGGAUGACUUUGAGUCAUGCAACCCGCGUCAACUUGAUUAACCCAAGUCUAACAUUAUCAACUCAAGUUUAACCCCACAAAGCCGAAUUUAACUUGAUUAAUGUGAAUUCAAUCCAAAUUUAGAAAAAUGAAGUUAACUUAGGAUUAGGUUGAGUACUUCAGGUUAAAAGUUGGGUUAGGUUCUAGUUAGCCAUCAACCCGAUCAAAUUAUAAUCCUACUAAAAACCAUAUAUGAUUUUAAUGAUACGGUUGUUUUCUUUCUUUCUCCAAUUUGACAUUAAAAUGGUAAUUACCAAUUAUCUAUGCUUAUUUGAGAACGGUUUCCUUUUUAUUCUCAAUAACAAAAAUUAAUUAAUUAAUUAAUUAAAUUUAAAAUUCAUGUUAAGAAAAAGAGUUAUUUUAUAUUUAAAUUUAUAAUAAAAAAUAUCAAAGAAAAUUAAAUAUAAUUAAAAUUAACAAAAACCACUUAAUAUUUGAAAGUUAAAUUUAAAAAAUGCCUUGAUAGUGGUAGUUGUUGUAAUACAUUAUUUAUAUAAAAAAAAUGAUGUUACUAAGAAUUUUAAAAAUGAUUUUAAAGAAAUUAUCAAAUACCUAAUUUCUAUGAAACACUAUUUUUGAGUUCUUCCAAAAUUAAUCUUAAACGGGUUCUAAGAACGAUUUUAAAAAAUAUUAUCAAGUCGGCCUUUAGCUUUUAUUAUUAUUAUUAUUGAUUUUCAGGAAACCAUUUUAAUAUUUUUAAUAAUUUUAUCAACCACAAAUCAUUUUCCACAUUCAUCCUAGGUAUUCAAUAUAUAAGUGCAAUCGUGAGACUCGUAAAUAUAUAUAUAUAUAUAUAUAUAUAUAUUUAAUUAGAAUCCUUAGUCUCAAUUUUUUUAAUAUAGUAUAUUAUUUAUUUAUUUAUUUAUUAUUAAUCUAUUUGUCUUAUGUGGGAGGCAUUUGUGGGUCAUAUUGGGUUAGAUGACAAAUUAAUUUUUGUCAUUUUUAGUAUUAAAAAAAUAAAAUAAAAUUUGGACUUUUCUUAUAGUUGGAAAGUUAUUGUCUGUACACCAUUGAUGCAAAAUGAAUUAUUGAUUUAAAGGGUUGAAGUUAUUAGUUAGUGAUAAAAUCUACUAUUAAUCAUAAAUUUUUGUCUUUAAAUUAUUUUCCAACAUUUAGAAGAAAAAAAAAUUCUUAAUAUUCUCCAAUUUAUAAUUCAAAAAGUAAUUUUGUUUAAAAAGCAAUUUAUAGUUAUUGUUUAAAUUAUUUUCGAAAAUUGUUUUGUAAGAAAAAGUGGUCAAUUGCUUCCCCCGUACUUAUUACUAACCCACCUUCCUCUUCUUUCAUUUCAUCGACCUUUUGCAAGGCGGAAAUGGAGGGCCACACAGGCAGUCGUUGCCCUGGAACGCGCUUGCCGGAAAUUUCGACGGCGGAAUCCGAGCACACAAAUGGUUGUGACUCACAUUCAGCUUCUCCAGCCCCGAUAUCGCCUCAGGCACCUUCCCGAAAACCAUGUUCCGCGACAUAUCUAUGUAGUUCAGCGUCUUCACGAUUCUCGAUUUCGACAUAUUGAAUCGCAGUUGGUUGCCGGGGGUCCAAAACCCUACUAGGUAAUCCGUUUUGUUUAACAGCCGGAUCGGACUACCGAUGAUUUUAUUUUCCGAGAGAUCAAUGUAGUCGUAGAAAUAGGUUUCCAACGGCUUCCAAUCGUCUAAUUUGAAUUUGAGUCCGCAUUUUGCGAGCUUCGGUGAAUAGAUGAUCUCUGACGAUGUGACCCAUUUUGGAAUGGCACCGAGAUGGAAGUGAUUGUACUACAAAUCAAGUGAGUCGAUCCCUUUUACGAACAUUUCCGGGAAGGGAUCGACGAGAGAAUUGUGUGAUAGAUCGAGGUUGAAUAUUUUUGUGAGCUUUGAGAAAGUUUUUGGCACAAUGCCCGAGAACUGGUUCCAGGAAAGAUCGAGGGUGUCCAGUGCUGUAAAGUUUCCGAGAAAAUCUGGGACUUGACCCGCUAGAGAAUUGUGGCCCAGCUCUAAAUAGGCCAAAUUUGGAGCUAAGCUUGAAAUGCUUUUCGGAAUUUUCCCAGAAAAUUUAUUGUGAGAAAGUCGGAGAACUCUGAGGUCGGUGAAUGAAGAGAAAAAGUCCGGUAUACCGGCGGAGAGCUGGUUCCGAUCGACGCUGAGAAGGGACAAGUUCUUUAGCCGACUGAUUCCGGCCGGUAUGGGACCAGUGAGCAUGUUGCCGCCAAAGUUGAGCUGAGUCAACCCAGUAAGCUGGGAGAUUGAACUCGGUAUUGGCCCGGUGAACCGAUUUCCCUCUAGGCUCAUCGCACUGAAUCGAGCCAAGUUUCCGAUAUUUCGGGGGAUCAGGCCGGAAAGCCGGUUGUAUUCGAUGUAAACGUAUUGAGGUUUCGACAUCCUGAAAAAAAAGAUCCGGAAAGGGCCCGAGAUGUUUCGGAGGUUCAGCAGGUAAAUUCCAACCAGGUUUUGCACUUUGCCGAGAGAAGGCGAGAUUGUACCGAACAAGAAGCUAUCCCGUUCUCCGGGUUGGCCAGUGAGGGAGAGAGUCAUGACCCGGUUUUCACCCAGGCAGUCCAUACCGGACCAUUUGCAGCAGUCCGUGCCGGGUUUCCAGUCUUGAAGCAUGCCUGAGGGGUCAUGGGUGAUGGCCGAUUUGAAGGCGAGGAGACCCGAUUCAUCGUCCACAUGCCAG
rnacentral:lncRNA from 1 species